GGUCGAGCUCUUGUGGAAGAAGCUAAUAACCCAAAUAAUGCAAAUAAGGAAAUUCCUGAUCAGGAGAAAGAUUUACCUGAUAGUCCGGAAGAAUCUGAUCCACUUAUUGAUGGUAAG